rnacentral:misc_RNA from 1 species
CGAUGCCGCCCCUUCCUUCCCUCUCCCUUCACCCGCUCUGCAGCACGCGGCAAGACAUACAGGCCCGCGCUACGCACGGAAGAGAUACAGCCGCAGUACACAGCCAUGAAUGAUAGGAGUCGGGUGGGUGAGAAGCUGAGGGGCUGUGCUGUUUUUGCCUCCUUAUCCAAAGAGACAAGCUGCGCGUGUAAAUGCGUGGGCCGUGUGUGUGUCUGCGCUGAAGCUGAUGUACGCGGCAUCUUUUCGCCCUUUAACGAGGGCUGUCCUUUUCUUCGCUCCUCCUCCUGCCGGUUUCUUCUAGCUUGCGCGGGGCGACCGAAACGCACAUGAGGUGACUCUUUCGUACGACGCCGACAUCAGCAUAUAUAUGUGUGUGCCCGAUGCCUGCUGUGACCUGCUUCUGCGUUUCUCCACCGCACGCCUACACUCUUCCCUGCCCGUUUUUGUCCGUCUAUUUUCCGCCCAUACGCACCCUCAAUGCUGCGCUUGCUCUGUGUAUGCUGCUGAGUCGAGCUGGCGCGCCACAG